GCCAGAGAGGCAUAGUGGUUUGAGCGCUGGACUAUGAUUCUGGAAAGCAGGGUUCGAAUCCCUGCUCAGCCA